UACAGAGGUGGCAAGCGUUGUUCGGAAUUACUGGGCGUAAAGGGCGCGUAGGCGGUCUUGUCAGUCCCUUGUGAAAUCCCCCGGCUCAACUGGGGAACUGCACGGGAAACAGCAGGGCUUGAGUUCGGGAGAGGGAAGCGGAAUUCCGGGUGUAGCGGUGGAAAUGCGUAGAUAUCCGGGAGGAACACCGGUGGCGAAGGCG
rnacentral:rRNA from 1 species